CAGGUGUGGUACUAGACUAAAAAUGAGUCUAGCCAUUCAGAGUUAGCAAAGAGUGGUGAAAAUGAUGCAAACAAAACUCUGAAUGUAUGAUCCAUUACAUGAUUCUCAAGCCCCUAAGUGAGAUAAAUUAAGUCCAGAUUAAGUUCAAAUAUAUAAGAUAAAGCUCAAUUUAUCCGAAUUUCAAAGAGAUAGGGACUACUAUAGAGUGAUCAAGUGAUGGAUUUUCCUGAACUUCCAAGUUAUCGAAUAGUGCUAAAAUGGUCCCAAGGCAAUGAAAUCAAGCAAGGUGCAAUUCCCCAAAAAAUAUCAUAGUUCUCAAACAAAUUUUGACUAAAUAAAAGACACGAUUUUGACUUGAUAAAAACGACUAACUCAAAAGAAAAGAUCAAAAGAAACAACCAAAGCAAACUCGAUUAGUAGAGAAAUGACAUCCUCCCCCCGUCUUGCUUCACACCGAAUCUGUGUGAAAACAUUUCGAAGAAAUGAUGCCAUACACACUCAAAAGAAAGCAAGAGAAAAAUAAAGAAAUGGUAGGAAAAUCAGAAAUACCUGGUGGGUUGCCUCCCACAAAGCGCUUGUUUUAUGUCACUAGCUUGACCGGAUUCUUGUGGACUAAUGGGUACGAGUGCGGGAGCUUUCUCCGAAACAAGGUCCCCAAUCAUUCAACUUUAGCUUCAGAAUUUUACCAACCACACUUUUCACAGCUUUUCUACCCUUCUCUUUCCAUUCAGAAGUGAGAAUGCUCCUAGCUUUGGAGAAAGGUUUCGAGGUCCCUUUACAUUGUACCUUAUACUCAAUGGUAUCCCCGACACAACGCAAUGGUAUCAAAGCUAUAUGAGGAUCUCCCUUGAUCCUUUUCUGCUUCACUAUAUCCUUAGCAGCAAUUUUCUUUAUUGGAAUGUGAGUAUCUCCAUCCAGGACUUCUUUGACCUCACUCCAACCACUGCAUUUCUUUACACACUUUUCGCUAGAUUCAUCAUUCGUGUCAAUAGAAAAUGCCUGACCGUCAAUGGUGGGAUUUUUCCUCGUCUCUCUCAUGUCAAACUCCAAAGAGUAGUCUCCAAUCUGCAAGCUGAUCUUGCUUCUUCUCACAUCAAUUAUAGCUCCUGCGGUGUUCAGAAAUGGCCUCCCAAGAAUGAGAGGAUCUUGUGGUUCCUUGUCAAGCUCCAAGACAAUAAAAUCAGUUCGAAUAUAGAAAUUUCCCACUCGAACAUGCACGUCUUCCGCCAAACCCACCGGGUAUCGCACAGAGCGAUCGGCUAGAAUCAAAGAGAUCCUUGAUGGCUUGAAAUCGGUAAUGCCUAGACGCUUUGACAUAGAAAAAGGCAUCAAGUUAACACUAGCUCCCAAAUCGCAAAGACACCUCUCAAAUAUGGACUUCCCAAUCCGGCAAGGCAAAACAAAACUCCCUGGAUCAUCGAGCUUCUCAGGAAUAGUGACUAGAAGGAUGGUGCUGGAAGUGCUGACCAUCUCUUUCCCUGCUACCACCUCUAAAGCAUCACUGAGUUGUACCUUGCUUUGUUGUCUCUGAGACUCCUCCAUCUCAGCAUACUCCUUACUCUUAGAGAUCAACAUAACUCCUUCCUCAAUGCUCCUCUUGUUGGACAAGACAUCUUUCAGGUAAUUUCUGUAGGUUGGAACGUGGAGGACCAACUGUAAGAAAGGAAGUCUCACAUACAACUGUUUCAUGAUCUCAUCAAAGCGUGCAUACUCUUUCUGUUUCUGAAGCUGUUUCUCACGGCCUGGAAAUGAAAGCUUAGGAACAUAGGAUGGCGGCUCCACAUAUAAAGGUUCAUCAACCUUUCCAAUCUUGUCCUCUACAGGUGUCUUAACAACAAUAGUUUUAGCUUCCUCCUGUUUGGCAACAUCAAUCUCUCUGGGCUCUUCCUGAAUCAUAAUUGCAUAACAAUGUUCCUUACCCUUGGAUUCUACUUUCCCAGGAUGAGCACCGGUUGGUCGUGUAGAGGCUGAAGCAAUUUGAGCAACCUGACUCUCAAGAGUCUUGACAUGCGAGGAUAGCGUUGUAAACUUUCCAUUGAGAUCAUUGUACAUGCUAUCCACCUUUACAUUGAUCUCAGCAGCAUUCUUCUUCUGACCUUCAAGAAUUUGCUUCAUCAUCAAUUUCAUCUCAUUAUCUCCAGAUAUAGAUGCAUGAUUGGUACUUGCAGGAGGUUGGAAUUGUCCCUGGUAGCUCCACUUAGUCUGAAAACCGUGACUAGGCUGAAAUUGCUGACCAUGUGACCCUGCCUGAGUCGGAUACACCUGAUCUUGAGGAUUUUCGACAUUGGUACUCUUGUAAGAAAGGUUAGGAUGGUUCCGGUAAUUCUGAUUGAACCCUCUGUUCUGAUAGUUGCCAUACCCAUUCACGAAAUUCAAAUCUGCCUGUAGAUCGUCAGAACCGUCUCCACUAAACUCUUGAUGCACUGGACCAUUACCCGAAUCCUCACAGUAGUUGACAACCCGUGAUCUCUCUUGAGGAGCUGCUCAACCUUAGCUGUUGAUGUCUCUGUAUUUUACCGCUUUUAAGCACACUUUUCUCGUGCAUUUAGCUAAGUUUCAUCUCUCUUUCAUUGCAUCCAUAGUCCUUUUCAUAUCAUUUUCAUCACUUAGUACGAUUUGCAUUGCAUGGCAUAGCAUAUUGCAUAUUGGAUGUGUUUCAGGUAUUUGGAGCUUAUUUGGGACUUAAUGGAUGCAAAGAAGAGAAUUGAUGAUUCAGAGCCAGUCUGAAGUCCCUCAAAGAUCGACUCAGAUGGAAGUCUUUCAUUGCGAUUUAGCUUCAAAGCUCUUCAUACAAGUUAUAGGAAAUUGAGUUACCUUUCCAACGGAGGUGAUUUCAAGCGAAUCAGAGCUUUGAUGCAAGAAUUAUGGUGGUUUUAAUGGAGACAUAUGCAGAAAACUGGUUGGACUCGACAGGAGGUCGAGCAGGCGCUCAGAAACCACCAAGGGUUGGACUCGACCACACCAACUCGACGUGAGGUCGACUAGGAGGCCAUAAAGGAGCACCCUUUGAAGAAUCACUCCCCCUCGACCACAUGGACUCGACGACACGUCGAGUAGGACGUCAUAAAGCUGUCUGGACACGGACUCGACCACACGGACUCGAUGACACGUCGAGUUGGACCACCCACCGACUUCUUAUUUUGUCUUGUAGCCAAAUUAGGGCAACCUAGUAUUCCUAUAAAUAGGGGUACACGCUAUUAUCCAGAGGAUAUUCCUUUUACCCAGCAGAUAUGCCGCUGCUCUCUCAUAAACCCUAGUUUUUGUAAUCGUUUUUCCUGCUGAAUCUUUGAGUUUUUGCAUUUCUUUUCUUCAUCAAAGUUGUAGAUCUUCUUCUCAUCUAUAACAUACUUGCUUUUUAAUGAUUUAUGGGUUUAUGCAAUUUUCUGGGUUUUUAUGCAUAAUGUUCUUCAGUGUUCUUGAGUAGUGGAUUAGGGUUCUUGAGGAUGGGAUAGAUUAGGUGUGGAAUCCUUAGUAUAUUUAGGUGGUUAAGUGUAGAAUUGCUUGAUUUCCCUUCUGGUUUAGUAGAUCUUAAUGCUACUUCCUCUCUGAUCAUUUGGAAGUUGAUCUCAGACAUUUCCACACCCACAAGGUGUUUGAUGAAAUGUCUGAACAAACUUUUCCAGAGAUUUGCAUACUCUAGCCCAAGAGAUUGGAUGUUUAGAAUGCUUAUUGACUUUAUUAGAUUGAAUCAUAAUGCCUGCUAGGUUAUAUUUCUUCAAUGAGAAUUGAGUAUGAAAGUGAUUUAGCUUGAGAAUCUCUGUCACGAGAGUGGAUUGAUUUGUAUUUGAAUCUAUUGUCUAGGGAUAGCUUGAUUGAGUUUGUUAACCACCUAGAUAGACUAAGGAGACUGCUAUAAUUGAUUACCCCAUUCCUCAGGACCCUUUAUCUCUAUUGAUUGGUUAAAUCUUGUUUCUGUUAGUUUCUGUUGCUUAGCUCGACCUGUUAGGCCUAGAUCGUUUAUCUGCAUUGUUAGGUUGUUAGUUUCUUUUCCAAAGCUUAUGCAUGAUAGUUUCUGGUCUUUAGUUUACUUCUUGCUCUUGUUUACUUGCUGUUUAGUUCUCUUUCUUAUGCUUUUAAAUUUGGUAUUCGCAUGUUAAAUUGGUUGCUUAGGAUCAAUAGAAACACACAAAACCCCUUCAUAAUUGGCUUGACUUAUUUGCUUUCUGUUUCAUAUCUUGAAUGCUUGCAGUCACACUGAGAUUGGAUUGAUAACCUAAUAUACUACAAUGGCAUGAAAGUAUAUUAGGGUAAUUGAUAGUAAAAUCCUAGUAUCAAUUUGGCGUCGUUUCCAGUCUUGUGUUGCAUUGUUCCAUUUAAGAUUUCAGGAACGUUUAAGAUCAAGUUCUUUCUUUUCUUUGGUUACUAACUACUCUCUUCAGCUGCUUGUUUUUUUGCUCCAGGUACCAUCUCUACCUCACGUCGAGCCUGCCACGUCGAGACUAACCACUUUGUAUGCAAACUCGUUCUAAAUUCUCCAGCAACCUCAUCAGCUACAAAGACAACAUCAACCAGUUAGCCCGUGAGUUGAAAGAACGUAGAGCCAGAGACGGUUGUGAACUGCACAAUCCAGUAGCCAUGGAACCACAAGAACAAGACAAUCAAGGCGUUGGGAUACCAAGGAACAUUGGUGCUGGGGAUGCACCAAGAAACCAUCAACAGAGACAGGACAUAGUUCCACCUCCUGUCCAGAACAACAAUUUCGAGAUCAAGAGUGGAUUGAUCUCAAUGAUACAAGGAAACAAGUUUCAUGGGUUGCCUAUGGAGGAUCCCUUAGACCACUUGGAUAACUUUGACAGGCUCUGCAGCCUCACCAAGAUAAAUGGUGUUAGUGAAGACGGUUUUAAGCUGCGUUUGUUUCUCUUCUUGCUGGGAGACAAAGCACACCAAUGGGAGAAGACACUACCUCCUGACUCCAUAACAUCUUGGGACGAUUGUAAGACAGCCUUCUUGACAAAAUUCUUCUCAAAUUCAAGAACUGCAAGGCUAAGGAAUGAAAUCUCCAGUUUCACCCAGAAACAGUCUGAAUCCUUUUGUGAGGCCUGGGAGAGAUUAAAAGGCUACACUACACAGUGUCCACAUCACGGUUUCAAGAAAGCUUCUUUGCUCAGUACACUCUACAGAGGAGCUCUGCCCAAGUUCAGAAUGGUCCUGGACAAUGCUUCAAAUGGGAAUUUCUUGAAUAAGGAUGUUGAAGAAGGUUGGGAAUUGGUUGAGAACUUAGCUCAGUCCGACAGUCAUUAUAAUGAAGAUUUUGAUCGCUCCAACAGAGGUAUUGGAGAUUCGGAUGCGAAGCAUAGUAAAGAUAUCAAUGCUCUCAACGAUAAGUUGGAUAAGAUUCUGCUGACUCAACAGAAGCAAGUCCACUAUAUCACUGAAGAAGAGCACUAUCAACUCCAAGAAGGGGAGACUACUCCCGCUGUAGAAGUCAGCUACAUACAGAACCAAGCUGGUUACAACAAGGGCUACCACCCCUACCAGCAUGCUCAUCCUAAUCUAUCUUACCGGAGCACGAAUGUUGCAAACCCUCAGGAUCAGGUUUACCCUCAACAACAACAGAAUCAGUCCAAGCCUUUCAUACCAUACAACCAAGGGUUUGCACCCAAGCAACAGUUCAGUGGAGGUUUUCACCAACAGAAUCCACCACCCGGUUAUACACAGCAAAUACAGCACGCUCCACCUGCACAAGAUCAAGAGAUGAAACAAAUGCUUCAGCAGCUUCUACAAGGUCAAGCAGCUGGUGCAAUAGCUCUUGAUAAGAAAAUGGCUGAGAUUCACAACAAAGUAGACUGCUCCUUCAAUGAUCUCAAUAUCAAGUUUGAGGCUCUAAACUCCAGGUUGAAAUACGUGGAGAGCCAAAUUGCUUCUACUUCUGCGUCUACGAAUCCAGGGCAACUGUCAGGGGAAGCUAUUCAGAAUCAGAAAGGUCAUGUUAAUGCUAUUCACCUUCGCAGUGGUCGAGAGCUGCAAACUCGACCUAGCAUAGCUCCUGUCACUGAGGACAGUGAGAUUCAAGAGGGGGAGGAUUUCAUUCAGCAUGAAACUCAAGUAGAAGACACCACUAAGCUAGACCAAGAGACUGUACCUAGUGAUCAAGUCCAGAGCCCCCAGAUCAAAGAACCAAUUGUUGAUAAGAGUAAGAAGAAAGCUUUCAUCCCACCACCCUACAAACCUAAAAUACCAUUUCCUGGAAGGUUCAAGCAGGACAUAAUUGAGAAGUACAGAGCAAUGUUUGCUAAGCACAUCAAAGAGAUAGAAGCCAGGAUGCCUCUCAUUGAGGCUUUCAUGCUAAUUCCGGAUUCUCACAAGUUCUUCAAAGACAUGGUAAUGGAGAGAAUUAAGGAAGUGCAAGAGAUGGAGAGUCAUGAGUGCAGUGAAAUCAUCCAAACGAAGAUUAUUCCCAAGAAAUUGGGAGAUCCUGGUUCGUUUACUUUACCUUGCUCUCUAGGCACUUUGGCCUUCAGUAACUGCCUCUGCGAUCUAGGUGCUUUUAAAAGUCUCAUGCCUCUCUCCGUGGCCAAGAGACUGGGUUUCAGCAAGUAUAAACCUUGCAACAUCUCCUUGAUCCUGGCUGAUGAGUCUAUCAGAUUUCCUCAUGGGUUAUUAGAAGAUUUGCCUCUUAAGAUUGGAAAUGGUGAAAUUCCUACAGACUUCAUAGUGCUAGAAAUGGAUGAACCAAAAGAUCCUUUAAUCCUAGGAAGGCCCUUCUUAGCCACUGCUGGAGCUUUCAUUGAUGUUAAGAAUGGGAAGAUUGAUCUUAAUCUGGGAAAUGAUUUCAAAAUGAAGUUUGACAUCAAUGAUGCCACGAGGAAGCCAACAAUUGAAGGACAGACCUUCGUAGUUAAGGUAAUGGAUUGCCUAGCUGAUGAACAGCUAGAGGAGGUUGCUGAGGAAGAUCACCAAAAAACUUCUUUGACUAAGAGCGGUGAAGCAGGAUAUCUUCUCACUGAAACCUUGAGCUGUGGUAAGUCACUAGAUUCACACAAGGAAGUAGCAGGGUCAGAGGUCUUUAAAGGCUUGAUUGGGUCAAAAACAGAGGUUAAGGUGGCAUAUGAAGCAAGCUCAACACAUGCUCAACCAACUGACUCGAGUAUACAUUUGAGCAAGCCUACAACUCGUCCGGAGAACUCUAGCUCGACCAAACAUCGUGAUAAGUUGCUAGAGUCUAGCAAUUCUGCUCCAGAUGGCUGGUUAGAACUCAAGGAGAGGUCCAAAUGGCAGGAUAAAGCCAUAAGGGAGCUAGCAGGCACUGUGAGAGAGCUGAAGGAUCAAAUCAAGAAGCUCCAUGGGAUAGCCAACCAAGUACCACUCCAAAUCAAGGACAUCCCAAAUGAUGAAGCGUCUACUCUGGUCAGCGCAAAGGGGAGUGAAUUCACUUCAGAAUGGUCUAUAGCAGAAGACUAUCCAGUUGAUCAACAAGAAGCUUACUAUGAGAAAAGGGCCAUUGAGUACUCAACUGCAGAUUUGUCAAGAGAGCAUGCUAAGUUUGAUGAUUCAUCCACCUGCAGGACAGAGGAGAUCUCAUUUGAUCUCUACAAUCCACCCUAAGCUCAUUCAGUGUGAGAAGUCAAGCUAAAGACUUUAAACAAGCUCACUUGGGAGGAAGUCCCAUGUCUAUCCUUGUAAAUAUUAGUUAUUUCCUUGUUAUUUUUGAUGUUUUUGCUUAAGUGUCUCAGGAUAAAGCGUUUUAAGGAAGCCAAGGUGCAAAACAGAAUGAGUGGCCUUGACUCGACCUGCCCUCCUCGACGUGAAGUCGAGCUUGCCCCUUGGUGUCACUCCAAACCAAAACCGAAGCCCUACUCGACGUACUAGCUCGACCCAACGUCGAGACCACUCAUUGCCCACCAAUACCAGGUUAAUCACCUCCUUCUUCACCCAUCCAUGAGGUAACAACUCCAAUUCACCAUUGUAUACACCACAUUUCAUUUUGUUUCUCUGUUGGUUUGCCCUGAGUACUCUCUUCCAAAUUCUUGUUACACAGAGGACUGUGUAAUUUAAGUUUGGGGGAGGGCUCAGGGAGUAUUUGACAUUGUGUUUUGUUUUCUUAUUUCAAAUUUUGCAUCAUUGCAUCUAAGGCAUAGAAACCAUAAAAAUUUGAAAUUUUUCGAAAAUGAUUUCACAAAAACAGAGUGUUCAUAUAGCUUGCAUUGUCAUUUUAGGAUUGUUUUAGUAUGCUUUCACUUAGGGCUGUUGCAUCAUGCUUUUGCAUUGGAGAUUAUGAUGAUUAUAACCUUGUAAAUAUGCUUAUUCACUAAGUAGAACUCAGUGCCCUGGUUGUUAGUUCUCUAAUGCAUAAUCGAUUGAACUUGAAGUAAGACCGCACCAUCUUUUGAAUUCAACGUUUGAUUUUCUUGUUCUUAGUCGAAACUCGCUUUGAUCUGAUGCCAUUCCCUAUCAAUUUGAACUUGAAUUUUGACUUAUAAUUAUCAUGCUGUGCAUUGUGCUAUGAACUCAUGGAUACUUUAAAAUACUUGGACUUUCUUUUACCUUUUGAUCACUCUUGCUAGUCCAAGUAGCUGACUCCCAUCUUUGGAGCAGUUAUACCCCACCCUUAGCCUUAACCUUCUUUCAAGCCAUUUAUCAUUUGUGUGUGACUGUGAGGCCUUAUUUCGAUUGAGCUUGGUAGAAAGUGUUAGGUCUGUAACGACAAGGAUAGUAUCUCAUGUAGUUCUGGUUCACGUUAUCUGGACUAGAUAGGACUAGGUGGGUGCUUAAUUCUGGGUUUGGGUUGUGUUUAAAAGAAAGAAAAGGUUGUGUUCAUCAUUGAAAGAAAAGAAAAGGGAAAAGAGUCCUAAGGAGAAGUAGCUAAAGUAAGAGAAGUCUAGUAAAGGAUUUGGGUGUGCUAAAGUAAAGGAAAAAGGGUUCUGUAAAUAGCUUAAAGAGAAUGGGCAAAAGCCUUGUGUUUAUGAGAGGAAAGAAAAGGGAACCCUAGUUGUUAAAGAAUCCUAAUCCGCUAGACAGAGCAAAGUAAGAAAGCUUCUCCUAGGAUAGAAAAGCAAAGAAAAGAAAGGAAUGAUGUGAGUAAAAGUCUGUAAAUGUUUGGAGUGCAAAAGGGUAGAGUUAAGUUCAUGUUCUGGGAUUAGAAAUAGGACCUCCAUUUGAGUUGAUAUUGAUUACAUUCUGGGUAGAUGGGGUCUUAUCCUUGUAUGCAUAACUUGAUACUCACCUUUAGCAUUCUACUAAAGCUCAAUCAUUCUUGAGAGAUCCCCUGUGACGAUUUAAACCAGAUCUUUAAGGGACCUUCUUUGUCUCUAGACCUUUACCCUUAAGCCAAAUGUGUUCAUAUCCAUUGCAUUGUAUGAUUCACGGUUCCUUCUUAAUCAAUGUUAAAGGGAAUGUGCUGAUUUGAAUGCUUGAAUUGAUUAAGGCAGAGGUUAGGUUGAGAUGUGAAGGAGAUGGCUAAUGUUUUUAAGUAAAGAUCAGUCAACCUUGCAUUCUAGAAUUAGCAACCUGGACAUUGAAUUCACUUACUCUAUAUGCAUGUUUUGGUUCUGAGUCUCCACUUUCAAACUUCUUCUCCAGCUUAGUUCUAUUUGUUUGCUUGAGGGCAAGCAAGAGCUAAGUUUGGGGGAGUUGAUGUCUCUGUAUUUUACCGCUUUUAAGCACACUUUUCUCGUGCAUUUAGCUAAGUUUCAUCUCUCUUUCAUUGCAUCCAUAGUCCUUUUCAUAUCAUUUUCAUCACUUAGUACGAUUUGCAUUGCAUGGCAUAGCAUAUUGCAUAUUGGAUGUGUUUCAGGUAUUUGGAGCUUAUUUGGGACUUAAUGGAUGCAAAGAAGAGAAUUGAUGAUUUAGAGCCAGUCUGAAGUCCCUCAAAGAUCGACUCAGAUGGAAGUCUUUCAUUGCGAUUUAGCUUCGGAGCUCUUCAUACAAGUUAUAGGAAAUUGAGUUACCUUUCCAACGGAGGUGAUUUCAAGCGAAUCAGAGCUUUGAUGCAAGAAUUAUGGUGGUUUUAAUGGAGACAUAUGCAGAAAACUGGUUGGACUCGACAGGAGGUCGAGCAGGCGCUCAGAAACCACCAAGGGUUGGACUCGACCACACCAAGUCGACGUGAGGUCGAGUAGGAGGCCAUCAAGGAGCACCCUUUGAAGAAUCACUCCCCCUCGACCACAUGGACUCGACGGCACGUCGAGUAGGACGUCAGAAAGCUGUCUGGACACGGACUCGACCACACGGACUCGAUGACACGUCGAGUUGGACCACCCACCGACUUCUUAUUUUGUCUUUUAGCUAAAUUAGGGCAACCUAGUAUUCCUAUAAAUAGGGGUACACGCUAUUAUCCAGAGGAUAUUCCUUUUACCCAGCAUGUUCUUCAGUGUUCUUGAGUAGUGGAUUAGGGUUCUUGAGGAUGGGAUAGAUUAGGUGUGGAAUCCUUAGUAUAUUUAGGUGGUUAAGUGUAGAAUUGCUUGAUUUCCCUUCUGGUUUAGUAGAUCUUAAUGCUACUUCCUCUCUGAUCAUUUGGAAGUUGAUCUCAGACAUUUCCACACCCACAAGGUGUUUGAUGAAAUGUCUGAACAAACUUUUCCAGAGAUUUGCAUACUCUAGCCCAAGAGAUUGGAUGUUUAGAAUGCUUAUUGACUUUAUUAGAUUGAAUCAUAAUGCCUUCUAGGUUAUAUUUCUUCAAUGAGAAUUGAGUAUGAAAGUGAUUUAGCUUGAGAAUCUCUGUCACGAGAGUGGAUUGAUUUGUAUUUGAAUCUAUUGUCUAGGGAUAGCUUGAUUGAGUUUGUUAACCACCUAGAUAGACUAAGGAGACUGCUAUAAUCGAUUACCCCAUUCCUCAGGACCCUUUAUCUCUAUUGAUUGGUUAAAUCUUGUUUCUGUUAGUUUCUGUUGCUUAGCUCGACCUGUUAGGCCUAGAUCGUUUAUCUGCAUUGUUAGGUUGUUAGUUUCUUUUCCAAAGCUUAUGCAUGAUAGUUUCUGGUCUUUAGUUUACUUCUUGCUCUGCUUUACUUGCUGUUUUGUUCUCUUUCUUAUGCUUUUAAAUUCGGUAUUCGCAUGUUAAAUUGGUUGCUUAGGAUCAAUAGAAACACACAAAACCCCUUCAUAAUUGGCUUGACUUAUUUGCUUUCUGUUUCAUAUCUUGAAUGCUUGCAGUCACACUGAGAUUGGAUUGAUAACCUAAUAUACUACAAUGGCAUGAAAGUAUAUUAUGGUAAUUGAUAGUAUCAGCUGUCAACUCAGCAAUCUGCUUUGAUUCUCCUCCUCCACCUCUGUACGACCUGUCAUAGUCAACAUUGUGGUUACUGUUACUGGCUGCCAGAUUCUCAAUAAGCUCUAUAGCUUCCUCCUCAGUCUUGGUCAUAAAAUCCCCAUUACUAGCAGUAUCUAGUCCUUGUCGACUCCUCUAUAGAAAGUAUUGAUCAAAGUGGCACGUGGAAAGCCGUGGUGGGGGCAUUCCCUGUAGGAAUCUUUGAACCGUUCCCAAGCUUCAUGGAAUGAUUUUGUACCAUGCUGCUGAAAAGAAGAGAUCUUUUUCCUCAGAAUGGCUGUCCUGGACUGAGUAAAAUACUGUGACAGAAAUGCAGCCUUGUAGUCUUCCCAGCUUCUUAAAUUCUCAGUGUUCAAAGACUUCAACCAGCGAUGGGCUUUGUCAGCUAAAGAGAAUGUGAAAAGUCUGCAUUUGAUGAUAUCAUCAGGUACUUCAUUCAUUCUUGUUGUACUGCAUAUAUCCUCGAAGUUAUCUAAAUGGUAGACUGGAUUCUCUGAGAUGAGACCAUGGAACUGAUUCUGCUUCACCAAAGAUAGCAACCCUGUUUUGAUCUCAAAAUUAUUCCUAUUGAUUGGCAGCUGUUGGUUCCUGUCUCGAAAAUGCACAACAUUAGGAGCAUCAUGAUCUCUCAAAGUCUGUCGAGCAGGCGCGGGCCUAGCAUUUACUGCAGCUAAACGAGCGGCAUUAGCAGCAGCCACACGUUCAGCAGCUGCACGGGCAGCGGCAGCUUGUUCACCAGCAGCAGGAGCAUUGUUGUUUGCAGGAGGUGGGGGAUCCUGAAACACUCCUUGAUGAUCACCUCCAAGUGGGAGUUCAUCUCUAUUCUGAAGAUUUCCUGCAGCAUCGUAUUCAGCCAUUUCAGCUUCUCUCUGCUCGGCUUCUUCUUUUUCUUAUUCGCUCUUUCAAACUUUCCGAUAUCCUCUUGGUAAUCCGCUAGAUGUGACGAGCCUUGGCUGCGGGUCAUACACCUGAAAACACCAAAGAGAAAACGAAAACGAAAAUCAGUAACAGAAAAUAAAAAUGCUUUAGACUAAAAACUAAUCCUAAAUCCUUAGGUAACGCAAUUGGUCCCCGGCAACGGUGUCAACUUGAUUGCUCGAGUAAUUACCCGAUACACUUAACCGCAAAGUAGUAUAUACGGGGUCGAUCCACAAGAACCAAUGGUACACUAAAGACUUCCGAGACUCGUUCUUAGCUAAAGCGAAGAAUUGUUUUGUUUGGGUUUUCAGAAUUAUAAAUAAAAAUGCAAGUAAUUUAAACGAUUAAACUUAUGAAUUAAAGACAUUGGGCAUUAGGGUAUUUCAGAGAUCAACGAAUAAUGGAAACAUGAGACAAGGAAUUCAAUGAUUAAGCACUGUUCUUGAACAUGAACACAUUUAGACUAAUUCUCUUUCAAGACAUUAAUCACUAAAUUUGACUACUCGAUUACUAAACUUUCGCAUGUAAUUUCCUAGUCAAAUUCGCAUUAUCAAACAAGUUUUUUAAGUUCACAAUGCGUCCUAACGUCAACUUUCAUUGGCUAGGAAUACAUUGCUCAAUUCACAUUCUUUCAAGAAUUCUAUCGAACACUUUUGAUGCAUACAAAAACCUAGAAUCUACAACAGGGUGAUCAAUCCUAUUCUAGCAUUAAUAACAUGUGAAUCAAAGAACCUAGAGAAUGAGAAUUCCUAACACAAUCAAUCCAUUAAUCCAUUGAAUCUCCUAAUUGGAACCAUAAAACCCAAUUGGGGAACUACUCACACAUAGAGAAAGAGAAAAGGCAAAUAGAUAUGAAAGAAAACAUGAUUCAAUAAAAUAAAAAAGGAAUAGGGUUUAGAAAUCUUCUCCAAGUGUCAAGAGGAUGGAUUCCUUUGCCCAAAGUUGUUUACAAACCAAAGAACAAAGUUUAGAACUCAAAAAUAUCAAAGAUAAUGUGUAAAGAGUCGAGCAUAGGGUUUUAAAACAAUAGGAAACGAGCCGGGUCGGAUCUGGAGUGAAUCGGGUCAAUUCUGGGCUAAAAGUACGUCUGGGGAAGGGAUCGAUCGAUCCGGUGGGUGGAUCGAUCGAUUUCGAGUCACUGGAAACUGCUUCUCGUCCGUCAGAGGAUGGGAUCGAUCGAUCCACUUGUGGAUCGAUCGAUCAGGAUCUUCUGGUCUCCAACUCCGCAACUGCUUCAAAUGCUCGGCAGAAUGACCUGUCUUCACUACUUCGGGUAUAACUCUUGAAUGCACCAUUAGAUUUCCUUCAAACCACUUGUAAACUCAAGCUAACAUCGUCAUCUAACUUGUGUCAAAAAUGCAGAAAGAUCUAAACAAAACUGCAUCUCCAAAAGUGUGUUUAUAUCCCGAAACAGCUCGUUUUCCUCCGAAGCAACCUAAAACCUGUAUAGACUCGAUAAACGACUAAAAGACUCUAAAAACACACUUUGACUCGAUAAAACAUAUGAUGUAAGAAAGAAAACAAAGACUCAAAACCGAUAAAAACACAACAUAUCAGGAGGACUUUGCAAACCCUCCAGGUAAAAUCGAUGGUUUCCACCAAAAUUAAAUAUUUCUUCCUAAAGAAAUUUUAAUUAAACCACCUUGGGAGAUUUAUUCAAAAUAAUAAUAAAAGCCCCAUUGGGCAAAGAAAAACUCAAAAGUAAUAAAACGGCCCCAUGGCCAACAAGGCAAAUUUCAUGUCUUAAAAAUUAAAGGGACAAUCCCCCACAUAAGGUGAAUACAAUCACCAUCAUUCAUUCAUAGGCGAACCGCCUUCUUCUCUUGCUUGACUUGAGACAAGAGCACCCCCGACGUCAUUGUCUUGAGUCGCGAGAACCACUUCAGGAUUAAGCGAGCUAACGUCUUGAGGAGUUUCGUUCCUCGAUUCAACAUCAUUUCCCAUAAUCGAGGAGGUGACAAGUCCCUGAUCAGAGGGCCCCUGAGCUCGUCCCAAGGAGAUCUAUCAACAUUGGUUCCGAACUCAUUUAAAUGAGCGCUAGGAGAACCGGUUAACAUCAUCUCGUCCAGAGACGAACCAAUAUUUGGUUCAGUCAGCGGAGGGGAAUCAGCGAACUCAGAAGGAAACUGCUGCAAAUUCAAAUAUGGCUAAGGAGCGGUAUUUAGCUUAGCUUCAGUCUCAGCUAGCUCGGCACCAACCGUCUCUUUCUCUUCAGCCAAAUCGACUUUUCCGUCUUCUAUCUCUUUGAUCAAAUCGAGAUUGCUUUUCAUUUCAUCGCGUUCGGAGUUAAGCUUGUUCCAAGCUUUGUCUGCAGCGAUAAAUUCCUGCACAGCGAGAAGAAACUUUUGCCCAGCUCCCUUAACCUCCUUCCGAGCAUCAUGAGAUAUUUUGCCAACAUCAAGAUCUUUCAGUUUGGAAAGAGACUCAUUCUUGCAUUCUAGCUCCUCAGCAGCUGCUUUAACCUUGUUAAGCUCCGAUCUGAGAAGCUCAAUCUCGCCUUUAGCGAAGUUAUGAUCAGCAAGGGCAGUCUCUAGCUUUUGCUCUGUCUCAAUCAAGGUCUUCCUUGUCUCCUCGCCGGAUCUUUCGAGUCUCUUGAUUUCCUCCCGGCGAACCGAGUCGAGGCCAGCAGUCUCCUGCACAAGCCGGUGGCAAGUUUCUUGGAAACUUUGGCAAGUUCCUCUUCAUAAAAGUUGACGAUGCCAUUCACAUCCAUAGUUGCCUAAUAAAAGAAGAUUCAUUUUUAAAAAAAAAUGAAUGAAUCAAAAUCAGUUGUCGAAGGAUGCAAGUAGUCAAACCUGGGAAGAAUGGAAUGAGUAACUGAUGUACAUCUUCUUAAUAUCAGGUUUCCACCAAUCAAAGGAUAGAAGCUUCUUCCCAACACGGGUGUGGAAGCACCGAAACAUAUUCCCGAUCUUCUCUUUGUCUGGAAUAAAGUUAGUUGUGUGAGAAUUGAGUUUUCUUCGAAGAGAGAAUCUAUUUAUCUCAAACAACAAAAUAAUAAUUAAAGGUUACCUGCUUGGGAAGAAGCUCUGGCAACCUGUCCUGAACUCGGAGAUGAUCAAACCCUAGAAGUAUUGCCUCGGGGGCGUCUAGGGGGUAGCAUCUCUGAACCCUAGAUGUAUUGCCUCGGUUCCUUCAAAACAGUUCCUGAAUCAGGAUUUGCAUCCUGAGCUUCAGUAGGUUCAGGAAUUGGCAGAUUCGAAGGAGCGGCUCUGCCCUUCCUUGUGCUCUUGGAACGUCUCUGGGCAGGGGUUCAAAUUCUUCGGCCUUCCUCUUCUUCAUGAGAGAAGAAUCACUUGCAAAGCCUUCCUCCUCAACGGUGGCAGCAACCACGUUGUCUGCUGCUGGGAUGAAGGGAGAAGCAUUGUUCACAGCAACCGCCAUUUACUUUGAACCUUCAAGAGAUCCAUCGUCAACCAGGAGAGUUUUUCGGUAGACUUUAUCGUUUCCGGUGGAAGUUGCAUUUUUCUUGUCUCUCCCGACUAGAGAAAUCUGAUCUUUGAUCUUUUUGUUUGCUUCUUUGAUUUUUCUCCUAUCUCGAGCAUUCAGACUCGAGAGGUCAAUCCCAGCAGGAGGAGGGUCGACGAGGUAAGUAAGGCCCAUUCUAACAGAAAAUCCGGCACCGUGAAUCCUUUCCAAAGUAAAGGAAUUCCAAUUAACUGGACUCUCCAAGACGGCCUUGUCGAAAUUGAGAAAAUCGAUAGAUGGGACCGGUCGAAUUUGGGGACCUGCGAGAAAACAAGGAAAUGUUAAAACGCAGUUUGAAAUAACAUGGGAAAUCUAUGCAGUUAAGUCCUAGUUUCUACCCAAAUUCGAUGACCAAUACACUCGAAGGAGUUCAGAAGAAUUCAGAAUAGAAAAAUUAUUUAUGCGGAAGAAGAACCAAAACUUCCUCUAGGCGUUGUCCUUUAAGGGCAGGCCAUCAAUAAGAUUCCGAUCCACGAUCGGAUAAAGGGCAUAAUACCCAGAGGUUCGGGAUUCGCGAGCCUGGAAAAGUUCCAAGAGUUCGCAAAGUCCCAGCAAGUAGCCAGCCUCCGCCGCAACAGUAAAGAUACAUAAAAGAUACCGGAGCAUGUUGGGCGACAUCUGAGAGAAUGCAAUUCCCAGAUGGUUGAGGUAAGCGAGAAGUAUCUCGGGAAGGGGAAAGAAUAAGCCGCACCCUUUGAAAUAAAUUUCAUAGGCGCAGCAGUAACCUUCUCGCCCCGACUCAGAAGACUCAAAGGGCUCCGGAACUAUCAUCUCCACCUCAGCAGGGAUGUGACAUAGUCUACGGAGGUCAUCGAGGGAUUCAACAGUCGAUUCACUCUGAGGGUGAAGAUCAAACUUGUCUCCGGUAUGGAUUUGAGGUUCGGAUCCUUCACCCAUGAGAGCUUCGAGGUCAUCAACUUCAUACUCACGAAAUUCGGGAGAAAGGUUCGACAUUUUACAAAAAGGAUUUUCAACCGAGAGGAAACAAUGAAUUCUGUGAUAAGAAUGAAAGGUCUCUAAGUGAAGAAGAUAAGAUGGAAAAGUAAUUUUACCUCUUAGAACCCUAAAGUAUGAUGGGAAACCGCCUCGAGAGUAUUAGGAAGUGGGACAGUUUUCCCCGUGGUAUUAAUAUAAAAUUAGGAAAUUAAUAAUGACGGUUGUCAGGGAAAUCAAAUCAUCUGAUUAUCCGAGAUCGGCGUAAUAGCGUAAAACAUGGAGAAAUUCCAGAAUGUUAAAGAUCUCGAGUCAUUAAUUACUCUCCCUCAUAUCGAUCGGCUCGUAGAAUCAACGGCCAGAAACGAACUCUUAACAUUUAUGGAUGCAUUUUCUGGAUAUAAUCAGAUCAUGAUGAAUCCCGAAGAUGAAGAAAAAACAUCUUUCAUAACAGAUAGAGGAAUCUACUGUUAUAAAGUUAUGCCAUUCGGUUUAAAAAACGCCGGGGCAACAUACCAACGUUUAGUUAACAAAAUGUUUGCAAAACAUUUGGGCAAAACGAUGGAAGUUUAUAUCGAUGAUAUGCUCGUAAAAUCUCUUAAGAAAUCCGAGCACAUCACACAUCUUGAGCAGUGUUUCAAAAUUCUUAACGAGUUCGGAAUGAAAUUAAAUCCAGCUAAAUGUUCCUUUGGCGUACCUUCCGGAGAAUUUCUGGGAUACAUAGUCACGGAAAGAGAAAUAGAGGCAAAUCCUAAUCAGAUUAAGGCUUUCCUCACAAUGCCCUCACCAAAAAACAUUAAAGAGGUCUAGCGAUUGACGGGCAGAAUUGCUGCGUUGUUACGUCUCAUCUCGAAAUCCACCGAUAAAUGUCUCCCUUUUUAUCAAAUUUUAAAAGGGCCCAAAAAAUUUCAGUGGGAUGAUCAAUGCGAAGCAGCUUUCGAACAACUUAAAGCUUAUUUGACAACACCACCGGUUCUCUCAAAACCUGAGUCAGAUGAGAAACUUUAUCUUUACAUCUCGGUUUCUAAUCAUUCUGUAAGCGAGGUUCUAGUUCGAGAGGAUCGAGGUGAUCAAAAGCCAAUUUUUUACAUAAGUAAAUCUCUUACUAGUCCAGAAACGAGAUAUACCAUGAUGGAAAAAUUAGCUUUAGCAGUAGUCAUAUCGGCUAGAAAACUCAGAUCUUAUUUCCAGUCUCAUCCGAUAGAGGUUUUAACAUCUCAUCCACUUCGCUCAAUUCUUCAUGGUCCAAGUCAGUCCGGUAGAUUGGCGAAGUGGGCAAUCGAACUCAGUGAGUACGAUAUAGAAUACAAAAGUCGGACUAGCGCAAAGGCACAAGUUCUGGCUGAUUUUCUAACCGAACUACCAUUAGAUGAUGGAAUCUUUGUUGAAACGGACUACACAUGGAAAUUACAUUUAGAUGGCCCUUCUUCUAAACAAGGAUCCGAAAUCGGUAUAAGGCUCGAAACUCCUACAAAGGAAAUAAUUGAACAAUCAUUUCGAUUAAUGUUCCUGGCUUCGAAUAAUGAAGCUGAAUACGAAGCUCUCCUAGCAGGACUUCGGCUUGCAAUUGGAGCAGAAAAAAUAAUAGCUUAUUGUGAUUCCCAGCUAGUUGUGAACCAGUUCGCUGGAGAUUAUGAAGCUAAGGCUCCUCGAAUGGAAGCCUAACUUUUGGCUGUCAAAAAAUUAGCCGGAAAAUUCAAAGAAUACAAAUUAGUUCGAAUACCUAGAGGAGAAAACACUUUGGCAGACGCUUUAGCUGCCGUAGCUUCUAUCUCAGAUCCCGAGCUCAGACGAGUUAUUCCAGUUGAAUGUAUUUCUUCGCGAAGUAUUUCGGUUGAAGAAACAGAAAACGAUAACAUUUUGGAGGCCGAGCACAUCGAAACUCCAAAAUCAAGUUCCGGAAAUGAAAAUAGUUCACUUGUCGUCACCAGAUCGCGAAAUUCUGAAGAUGACGAACUUACUCCACCACUGGAACUUCCCAAAAGAAAGCCAAGAAGAAAAUUAAAAGAUCAAGAGGUUCCCAUUAAAGAACCGUCUCAAACCGAACAAUCACUUCCAGGUGAUGUAGAGGUUCAGGAGACAAUCGAAGAUCCUAAUAUUCCUUCCGAACCCGAACCAAGGAAAUUUAUACUCAAGGAUAAUACUUCCGCUAAUGAUUGGGGGGCUGAGUGGAGGGUACCCAUCAAAAAUUUCAUUCUUAAUGGAGAACUACCAUCGAACAAAUGGCAAGCUCGCAAACUAAGAAUCAUCAGCGCUAAGUAUUGUAUAAUUAAAAAGUCAUUGUACAAGCGAGGCGUCAGUGAUCCUUACCUUUUAUGAAUUUUUGGACCCGAAGUUGAAAUAGUGACAAGCGAGGUCCACGAAGGGCUUUGUGGUAGUCAUUCUUCGGGACGAGCAAUGGCUUUCAAAAUCAAACGGUUAGGAUACUUCUGGCCAACUAUGAUUUCUGACUGCAUCGAUUACGCCAAACGGUGUAAGAAGUGUCAGAUGCACGCUCCUCUUAUUCACCAGCCAUCUGAAAUUCUAUCAUCUAUAUCCGCUCCAUACCCUUUCAUGAGGUGGUCAAUGGAUAUAGUUGGUCCGAUGCAUCGUUUAACACGAGGAGUCCAAUACUUAUUAGUUCUAACGGACUAUUUUUCCAAAUGGAUUGAAGCUGAAGCUUAUAUAAGCAUACAGGAUUCCGUAGUAAAGACAUUCUUGUGGAAACAUAUUAUUUGUCGCUAUGGAGUUCCCUACGAAAUAGUAACGGACAAUGGUCCUCAAUUCAUUUCAAAUGAUUUUGAAGAUUUUUGUUCCGUUUGGGGAAUAAAACUUAGCUACUCAACGCCGAGGUAUCCUCAAGGAAAUGGACAAGCGGAAGCUUCCAACAAAACCAUUCUCAGCAAUCUUAAAAAGCGCUUGAGUGCUCGAAAAGGUGGUUGGUAUGACGAACUGCAACCUGUGGUGUGGGCAUAUCAAACAACCCCGAGACAAGCAACGGGUGAAACUCCAUUCUCAUCAGUUUAUGGGAUGGAAGCUGUAGUCCCAGCCGAGCUAAAUGUUCCUGGUUUGCGCCGGAGCAAAGCUCCACUUAACGAGAAAUCGAAUUCUAAAUUAUUAGAAGAUGUUCUCGAUACAAUCGAUGAAAGGCGAGACCAAUCCUUUAUUCGACUUCAGAAUUAUCAACAGUUGACCGCUCGCUACUAUAACUCAAAGUUGAAAAACAGACUUUUAAACGUAGGCGACUUUGUUUUAAGGCGAGUGUUCGAUAACACAAAAGAAGAAGGAGCUGGAAAACUCGGUAUUAACUGGGAAGGCCUGAUAUGACUAUGGACGAACAAGACUCGGAGCAGCUCGUAGCCGAGGAGCAACAUGUAGCCGAGGAAGCUUUGGCCGACCCAACAGGCCCGAUGACUCGUUCGAAGACAAGACUUCUCAACCAAGCCGUUAGCGGACUCCUUAGACACUUGAAUCAGCCUACAAGCAAAGUUAUCCAAACCACUUUGGUUUCGAUUACAGCCCAAGACAAUUGGUAAUGGGCUAAGUGUUACUUGGGUACUCUUUUUCCCUUCUAAGGUUUUGUCCCAAUGGGUUUUCCUUAGUAGGUUUUUAAUGAGGCUUAAGUAACACUUCCAAAAACCCCAUUAUCAAUUCGGCCCAGCCCAUCCUAAAGAUGAAGAAGAUUUUCGCAAAUUUGAAGGCCAAGGGUCAUUUGUUGUGUUCAAUUUUCGUUUUAAUGCUUUGUUAUUUCCGAGUUGUCUUGGAGCUUGUUCCAAGACUAGCUCUUCCUCUUCUCCCUUCUCUACUUAAGUCACUUGUACUUCUUCUUUGAGUUUCAUCUAAUCUUUUAUCAAAAACUCUUUCAAGUUAGAUCAAUUUUCUUGUUCUUCUCUUUGGUGCGUAAUAUCCAACGACGAGAUCAAGAUCGGUAAAUCAAAGGCCUUCCGCAACCUUUGUGCGACCAUUCAAUCCACUUCCUUUGCACCGAGUGAUCUUCACAUCAUUUUGAUGCAAAGCCUAUCUCUUACUCAACCUCAAGAGUGCCGAUCUUAGGAUAAUUCUAUCAAGUGGUAUCAGAGCUCGCUCUGAAGUUUAGUACUCUAUCCAUUCUCAUCUUUCAUCAUAUUCAUCAUCUCGUUCCAUUCAUUUCGCCCGUUCAUCGUUUCGCUUCAUUUUGUCCGUUCAUCUUCUUGUUUGACUAUUCAUCUUCGCUGUCAUCUUGUUUUAAUUUUCAUAAAUAAUUGACUUGUGAUUAAAUUGCGAAACCAAUUGAAUCUGAAUCUAGGACGAGUCUAGUAUUUUAUAAAAGUGUUUCUGGAAUUUUAAAGCAUGAUUUGCUAUUUUAUUUUGUCCGUUCAAAUUCACCUGUUUUAGGACGAUCGUUGAUAUUUUUCUUUGAACUAGUGACUGGUUUAGCUUUGUUGUGUUGGCAGGAAUGGUGACAUCCGAUUCAAGCUCGGGAGUUAGUGCUAAUAACAAGGUCCUCAUCGAAGCUCUCACGAUACAAAUGGAGAAAAUGAUGGAUGCCAAGCUUAAACCAAUUACCGAUCAACUUAAGGGGAAGGAGAAAGCACCGGGUGAACAAGUCAUCAUCUCGGAUGGAGCCCGAUCUCGAAAGGAGGCGAACCACCAAACCAAGGACCCGAGGAAGGAAACGGCUGAUAAAAAUGCCCAAGAAUACUACAGCAGCCACGGUCGCUCUUCUCACCGGAGCAGCCGGAGAACAAGACGUAACGGAGGAGAGAGAGAUUUGAUGGUCGAAAAUCUUGGACGCUAUAAGAUGAAGGUACCGCCGUUCCAUGGAAAGAAUGAUCCGGGCGCCUACUUAGAUUGGGAGAAGAAGAUGGAGCUUGUAUUUAAUUGUCACAAUUUUGCCAACGUCAACCGUGUGAAAGUAGCCGCUACCGAGUUCUACGAUUAUGCACUUAGUUGGUGGGAUCAAAUUGUCACUACGAUACAGCGUAAUGGAGAAUAUCCGAUUGAGACAUGGGAAGGACUAAAGCUUCUCAUGAGGCGUAGGUUUGUGCCUAGCCAUUAUCACUGUGAUCACUACUCCAAACUCCGGAAGCUAACUCAAGGCGCGCGGUCCGUGGAAGACUAUUACCAAGAGAUGGAAACUUUGAUGUUGCGUGCGCAUAUAAUGGAGGAUAGUGAGGCAACAAUGUCAAGGUUCUUGGGAGGAUUGUACCGUGAAAUUCAGGAUCGUGUCGAGAUGCAACACUACGAGGAGUUGGAAGGGAUGCUACAUAAGGCUAUCCUUGUGGAGCAACAACUUAAGAGAAAGGGUUCCUCACGGCCAAGUUAAGAUUCGAACCGACCUAACUAUCCAAGAGAAAGCAAACCAGCCUUCGUUCCUAAAGCCGAGCCCAAAUCAUCCCCGACCACCCAAGACCAAGACAAGACCAAGCCCGAAGGCACCGCCACUACUAGAUCCCGUGAUCUCCGAUGCUUCAAGUGUCAUGGACGUGGGCACUAUGCUAACGAGUGUACGAAUAAGAGAGUGAUGAUCAUAAGGGAAAAUGGUGAGUUGGAAUCCGAGGACGAGCCCAUGCCACAACCCGAAUCGUCGUCCGAAGAGUGUAUUGCCAAGCCGGCGAAUGGGAAGCUCUUAGUGUUGAGAAAGGUUUCGAAGGAUCCGGAAAAGGAGCAAGACAUGAACUCAUCCCCGGAUGAGUAUAGGAAACGGUCCGGAGAACUUUACGUAGCGAGACGAACGUUAAGCAUCCAAACCCGAACCGAGGAAGAAGAGCAAAGAGAGAACCUAUUUCAUACGCGAUGUCUUGUCCAUGAGAAAGUUUGUAGUUUGAUCAUCGAUGGAGGAAGUUUUACGAAUGUAGCGAGUGAGACAAUGGUCCGAAAGCUUGGGUUGAAGCCGCAAAAGCAUCCUAAGCCGUAUCAACUACAAUGGCUUAAUGACGAUGGAGAAAUGAGUGUUGAGAAUCAAGUGGUUGUUCCAUUAGCGAUCGGAAGUUACGAGGACCGAAUUCUUUGUGACGUACUACCAAUGGACGCCGGACAUAUCCUUUUAGGCCGACCAUGGCAAUCGGAUCGGAGAGUGAUCCAUGACGGUUUUACUAACCGAUACUCGUUCAUGUUCAAAGGCAAGAAGACUACCCUUAUUCCAUUAACGCCACAAGAGGUAUGUGAGGAUCAAAUCCAACUCUCGGCCAAGGAAACCAAAGUUCGUAAACAGCCUAAUUUCUUUAUUAAGGCUAACAAGGUUAAGCAAGCUAUGUUCUCUAAAUGACCUAUUUUGUUAUUGGUUUACAAAGAAGCACUAACGACUUUGGCUAACUUUGCACCGGCCAAUCUGAGUGAGUUAACUUCUCUUUUGCAGAAUUACAAGGAUGUGUUUCCCGAAGAUAGCCCCAAUAGUUUACCACCUAUCCGGGGAAUUGAACACCAAAUUGACUUUGUCCCGGGAGCAACACUACCAAACCGUCCAGCCUACCGAACCAAUCCGAUGGAGACCAAGGAAUUACAACGACAAGUCGACGAGCUCAUGACUAAAGGGCAUAUCCGCGAGAGUAUGAGUCCGUGCGCCGUUCCGGUCCUACUUGUGCCAAAGAAAGACGGGAGUUGGCGUAUGUGCGUCGAUUGCCGGGCAAUCAACAAUAUAACGGUGAAGUAUCGCCACCCUAUUCCUAGACUUGAUGAUAUGCUUGAUGAGUUGCAUGGUUCAUGCAUUUUCUCUAAAAUUGAUUUGAAAAGUGGCUAUCAUCAAAUUAGAAUGAAAGAAGGAGACGAAUGGAAAACUGCAUUUAAAACGAAACAUGGGUUGUACGAAUGGUUAGUUAUGCCAUUCGGUUUGACAAAUGCACCUAGUACAUUCAUGCGCUUAAUGAACCAUGUCCUUAGAGCAUUCAUUGGCCAUUUCGUGGUAGUUUACUUUGAUGAUAUUUUGGUUUAUAGCAAGAACAUGGCUGAACAUAUUGAUCAUUUAGAAUCGGUCAUAAAAGUCCUUAGGGAGGAAAAGCUUUUUGCAAAUCUUAAGAAGUGCACCUUUUGCACGGAUAAUCUUGUUUUUCUAGGCUUUGUUGUAAGUGCAGAUGGUGUUAAGGUGGAUUAGGAGAAAAUAAAGGCGAUCAAAGAGUGGCCUAGCCCUAAAACCGUUGGAGAAGUUCGGAGCUUUCACGGCCUUGCCGGUUUCUAUAGACGUUUUGUUAAAGAUUUUAGCACCUUAGCCGCACCACUUACCGAAGUAAUCAAAAAGGAUGUUGGGUUCAAAUGGGAAGAAGCUCAAGAGAAAGCCUUUCAAGCCCUUAAAGAGAAGCUUACUAAUGCUCCUAUUUUGAUUUUACCCGAUUUUCUUAAACCUUUUGGAAUCGAAUGUGACGCCUCCGGUAUAGGUAUUGGAGCUGUUUUGAUGCAGGAUAAGAAGCCCAUAGCCUAUUUUAGUGAAAAGCUCGGUGGUGCCACCUUGAACUAUCCGACGUAUGACAAGGAACUUUACGCUUUGGUCCGGGCCUUACAAACGUGGCAACAUUAUUUAUGGCCGAAGGAGUUCGUCAUACACACCGAUCAUGAAUCUCUUAAGCAUCUCAAGGGUCAACAAAAACUCAAUAAAAGACAUGCAAGGUGGGUAGAAUUCAUUGAGACAUUUCCGUAUGUCAUCAAGUAUAAAAAAGGUAAGGAUAAUGUCGUAGCCGACGCAUUAUCCCGAAGGUACACCUUACUCUCAACUCUUGAUGCCAAGCUUUUGGGUUUUGAACAAAUUAAAGAACUCUAUGAUUCUGAUCCGGAUUUUCAAGAAAUUUAUAAAGCUUGUUCUAAGUUGGCUUCGGGCCGCUAUCAUAAGCAAGACGGGUUUCUCUUUUAUGGGAACCGUUUGUGUAUUCCUAAAUGUUCUCUUCGAGAUUUAUUUGUUAGGGAAGCACACGGAGGGGGACUUAUGGGGCACUUUGGAGUUGCCAAAACUCUUGAGAUAAUGAAGGAUCAUUUCCAUUGGCCUCACAUGGUAAGGGACGUUGAACGUAUAUGUGGAAGGUGUGUCACAUGUAAAAAGGCUAAGUCCAAAGUGCAACCAAACGGUUUGUAUACUCCUUUACCCAUUCCUUCUCAUCCUUGGACUGACAUAUCAAUGGAUUUUGUGCUUGGAUUGCCUAGUACUAAAACCAAAAAGGAUUCGAUUUUUGUAGUCGUUGAUAGGUUUUCUAAAAUGGCGCAUUUCAUUGCUUUUCAUAAAACCGAUGAUGCAUCUCAUGUUGCUAGUUUGUUCUUUAAGGAAGUUGUUCGUUUGCAUGGCAUGCCUAGAACCAUUGUUUCGGAUAGGGAUACCAAGUUUCUUAGUUAUUUUUGGAAAACAUUGUGGUCUAAACUUGGAACUAAGCUCUUAUUCUCUACUACUUGUCAUCCGCAAACCGAUGGGCAAACCGAAGUGGUUAAUAGAACCUUAGGCACACUCUUGCGCACCUUGAUUAAAAAGAAUCUUAGGACUUGGGAAGAAUGUUUGCCGCAUAUAGAAUUUGCAUACAAUCAUGCCGUUCAUUCCGCUUCUAAGUUUUCGCCAUUUCAAAUUGUUUAUGGGUUCAAUCCCACCUCUCCUUUGGAUUUGAUGCCUUUGCCUUUGAGUGUAAGAACAAGCCUAGAUGGAAAAAGAAAGGCCGAAAUGGUGCAACAAAUCCAUGAGAGCGCUCGGAAAAAUAUUGAAGAAAAGACGAAGAAGUAUGUCGAACAAGCUAACAAAGGCCGACGACAUGUGGUCUUUGAGAAUGGUGACCAAGUUUGGAUACACUUAAGAAAGGAACAAUUCCCAGCCGAGAGGAGUAGCAAAUUGAUGCCAAGGGUCGAUGGGCCAUUCACUAUCACAAAACGGAUCAACGACAAUUCUUAUCAAAUUGAUCUCCGAGGUAAGUAUAACAUAAGUUCAAGCUUUAAUGUUUCAGAUUUAUCUCCUUUUCUUGUAGAUGAAACGGAUUUGAGGACAAAUCCUUUUCAAGAGGGAGGGCAUGAUAUGACUAUGGACGAACAAGACUUGGAGCAGCUCGUAGCCGAGGAGCAACAUGUAGCGGAGGAAGCUUUGGCCGACCCAACGGGCCCGAUGACUCGUUCGAAGACAAGACUUCUCAACCAAGCCGUUAGCGGACUCCUUAGACACUUGAAUCAGCCUACAAGCGAAGUUAUCCAAACCACUUUGGUUUCGAUAACAGCCCAAGACAAUUGGUAAUGGGCUAAGUGUUACUUGGGUACUCUUUUUCCCUUCUAAGGUUUUGUCCCAAUGGGUUUUCCUUAGUAGGUUUUUAAUGAGGCUUAAGUAACACUUCCAAAAACCCUAUUAUCAAUUUGGCCCAGCCCAUCCUAAAGAAGAAGAAGAUUUUUGCAAAUUUGAAGGCCAAGGGUCAUUUGUUGUGUUCAAUUUUCGUUUUAAUGCUUUGUUAUUUCCGAGUUGUCUUGGAGCUUGUUCCAAGACUAACUCUUCCUCUUCUCCCUUCUCUACUUAAGUCACUUGUACUUCUUCUUUGAGUUUUAUCUAAUCUUUUAUCAAAAACUCUUUCAAGUUAGAUCAAUUUUCUUGUUCUUCUCUUUGGUGCGUAAUAUCCAACGACGAGAUAAAGAUCGGUAAAUCAAAGGCCUUCCGUAACCUUUGUGCGACCAUUCAAUCCACUUCCUUUGCACCGAGUGAUCUUCCCAUCAUUUUGAUGCAAAGCCUAUCUCUUACUCAACCUCAAGAGUGCCGAUCUUAGGAUAAUUCUAUCAAGGCCCUUAUCAAAUCACAGAAAAAAUCCGAAAUGGUGUUUACCGUUUACAAGACCUUGACGGAAAUCUUGUUCAAAGGCCUUGGAACAUUAUCAACUUGAAAAAGUUCUAUUGCUAAAGCAAACAUAUUCGAACUACGAUUUGGCUUGAUCCUAUUAUGGGUACGUAGGCAGCUCGCUAAACACGAGUCCAGCUAUAAAAAUAAAAAUAUUAUUUCAAUCAUGGAAUCUUGUUUUUAUCCUCGGGCGUGAAUAAAAAAUACAUUGCAAACAAUGUGUAAAUAAAUAUUUCUUGCUAAACAAAAAUCAGAUCUAGAAGGGUCUUGAAUUACUAAAUAGUUCUGCUCCUUGCCCUGCGAGGUCAACGAUGCUCAUAAUGCAACCUGGCAUGUUUCCAUACUCCUGAAGUCCUAGUUCGAUCCAAUCGGAAGGAUGGGCUUCGAGGCGUUGAUGCUAAUUAACUGGCCUCUUCACGACGGCCUUGUAGAAGUUGAGAAAAUUAACGGAUGGGACUGGCCGAAUCUGGGGACUUGUGAGGAAACAAUUAAAUGUUGAAGCGCAGUUUGAAAUAAUGUAGGAAAUUUAUUCAGUUAAGUCCUAGUUUCUACCCAAAUUCGAUGACCAGUGAAUUCGAAGGAGUUCGGAAGAACUCUGAGUAGAAAAAUUAUCUAUGCGGAAGAAGAACCAAAACUUCCUCCAGACGUUGUCCUUUAAGGGCAGGCCGUCAAUAAGAUUCCGAUCCGCAAUCGGAUAAAGGGCAUAAUACCCAGAAGUUUGGGAUUCACGAGCCUGGAAAAGUUCCAAGAGUUUGCAAAGUCCCAGCGAGUAGCCCGCCUCCACCGCAACAGUAAAGGUACACAAAAGAUACCGGAGCAUGUUGGGCGACAUCUGAGAGAAGGCAAUUCCCAGAUGGUUGAGGUAGGUGAGAAGUAUCUCAGGAAGGGGAAAGAAUAAGCCGCACCCUUUGAAAUAAAUUUCAUAGGCGCAGCAGUAACCUUCUCGCCCCGACUCAGGAGACUCGAAGGGUUCCAGAACUAUCAUAUCCACCUCAGGGGGGAUGUGACAUAGUCUUCGAAGAUCGUCAAGAGAAUCGACAGUCGAUUCACUCUGAGGGUGAAGAUCAAACUCGUCUCCGGUAUGGAUUUGAGGUUCGGAUCCUUCACCCAUGAGAGCUUCGAGGUCAUCAACUUCAUACUCGCGAAAUUCGGGAGAAAGGUUCGACAUUUUAUAAAAAGGAUUUUUUACCGAAAGGAAACAAUGACUUCUGUAAUAAGAAUGAAAGUUCUCUAAGUAAAGAAGAUAAGAUGGAAAAGUAAUUUUACCUCUUAGAACCCUAAAGUAUGAUGGGAAACCGCCUCGAGAGUAUUGGGAAGUGGGACAGUUUUUCCCGCAGUAUUAAUAUAAAAUUAAGAAAUUAAUGAUGACGGUUGUCAGGGAUAUCAAAUCACUUGAUUAUCCGAGAUCAGCGUAAUAGCGUAAAACAUGGAAUAAUUCCAGAAUGUUAAAGAUCUCGAGUCAUUAAUUACUGUUUACUUAAGUCUUCCAAGACGAGUACUCAGCUAGCAAGACUUGGGGGUCUAAAUGUUGGGGUCGGAUCCCACACAUUUUCGGUAGGAUCCACUUGGAUCUGUCCACGUCAUUAUUACAUAAUAAUCCUCUUGGAAUUAAAGAUAUUUAUUAUAAGGAUCGCACUUAACCAGUCGGGAGUUCGAUUCAGUCUACUAAAAGAGUUCGAUCUUUACCAGUACGGAGUUUGCUCUUAUUCAACAUACAGUUCGCAUAGAAAAACGCCGAAGCGAGGAGAAUACUGUUCGGGGUUCGCGGUAGCAUCAAAGCAUGGGAGUUCGGAGUCAGCAAGAAAGAGUUCGAAAGGCCCACGUGAAGCCCAAGACAAGUUCAAAUUCAAGCCGUUUCGGUCAAAAUGUAACUUGUGUGAUUAAUGCGGAUCAAUAUGAUUACGAGUAGUAAAUAGCCGCAUUAAUCAUGUUUUCUCUAUAAAAGCAACCUCAAACGCAUGUGUUUGAGGGACACAAUCUUUUUACUCCUUACUAUCAAGCAAUACAACAUACUUUUUCUUUCACAAUUUCGCAAGGCUUCUUAUUAUUUUAUUCUUAUCAAAAUCCUUUACUUUAUUAGUUUCUUGGUUAUUUUUCUUUUCGAUUUCUUAUUUUCAUCCAUUGAUUUUAGAGUUUUUCUCCACAACAAUACUUAAAAACAAUCGAGUGUGAAUCCUACAUCCACAAUGGAGAUGAUGUAUGGGAAGAGUUGGAUACCGAAGAUGAGCUUUAGCUCGCAGCUUCAGAGCCAAUGUCGACCGACACCACCUGGUGUCGAUCGACACCCAUUUGUUUCCCGUGGAGAUCGACGUUUGACGAAGAGUUGUCGACCGCUACAGCUUCUCGAGGCUCGAUAGCAAGCCUCAGUGUCGACCGACACCACCUAGGUGUCGAUCGACACCACCUCGCCAAAACACAUGUUUUGACGUUUGAUGCAGAAGGGUCGACCAGUCAUGAUACAGUGGAGUCGACACCAUCUCAGAGUGUUGACCGACACUCACCUAGUGUCGAUCGACACUGGGUCCGAACAACUCCAUAUGUGCUUGUUUUCCCACCUACAACACCUGUCUACACGCCUCCAAUCCCUUUUCCUAGGAAGCAUUGCUCAAAGUAAGAGAUUCAGGAUGCACGCUGCAAGGCUAUUGAUGUGAGUCAAAUUAAGACCUAAGACUACUCUCUCAAAUAAGAGAUCGUGUGUAGCACUUUAGGGUCGAAUUCUACAAAGCUCUCGUGUUCACACAAUAGACUAACAGGUUUCGAAUUAAGCUAAACAGAAUAUAAGAAUAUUAAAAUAAAGAAAGCAAUUAAAUUCGGGUUUUAAUUCAGAUGAGGAAAACGUUAGGCUUAGGGAUUUCUCAGGAAAUAAACUAAUAGUAAAUCUAGCAAAUUAAUUAGGAUUAUUUAAUGAACCGUUCUAGAACUCAAAGCACUAAUGAAUAGCUAACCACCUCUCAAUGCGCUGACUAACAAGUCUAAUAUCAGUAAUUCCACCUCUCGAUGCGAAUUCUUAGAUCUAGACUAGAAUUAAAUUCAGGUUUGAUAUGUUCACCUUAGUAGAUAGGCCGAUUCUUAUUAUACACCUAUAAACCAGGCUCAUCUAAAGUAGUUCAGGUAACAAGUGCCCUCUCGGAUCAAAUACCUAUUAUCCUAAGAUCAGGUUCUAGUUAGCUACUCUAGAACAAGCAUUAAGAACAACCUAGAUGAAGAACUCUAUGGAUUAAUCCUAACAGGCAAUCAAUUUACUAGUUCAUCUAAAUCCCUAAUGAGAAUCCCUAAACCUAACAAGCAAACUACUCAGACAUGGAGAUUGAAACAAACAACAUGUUAUGAAUAGAAAGCAUAAAGAAAUUAAGAGAAGAAGUAAAAAAGUUUAAGAAAUCUUCUCUGGAGGAGCUCUCUCCAAUUAUCUCCCAAAGGGUUCAAGCUCCAAAGUACAAUAUAAUGAGAAUAUGAGAGAUUGAGAGAUGUCUCUAAAACAAAACCCUAAAAAUCUAUAUAUAUGUUCUUAAAAAUGUGCAGGGACUUCUUUGAAAAUAGGGAGAACUUCUGGGGUGAAUAUGCAAAUCUUCAUAACUUCAAUUAGACGCGAAAUUCAAUUGCCGUCAGAUCUUGGUGUCGACCGACACCAGGGGUGGUGUCAUUCGACACUUGCACGUAUUUUCGUCUCCGGAUUGCUCGCGCAGCAUAACUUCUCGGUUUUACUCCAGAAUGAUCCAUAAUCUCCAAAUUGGUCCCGAACGUGUAAAAACCUGAAAAGACUCAAAAACACUCUAGAAACAACAAAAAGACUCUAAAAACAAUACAUAUAUCAUGGCUAAAAUCGGUAAAAUCCGUGAUAUAUCAGCUAUCAUGGAGAAGAUCUAGACUACUCUUCCUAAAAUCAAUCCUGAAACAUCUUCUCCACCACUUGAGCGAUAUGUCAAGAGAUUGGUCAACAAUGGUAUUUGUGCUGAGGAAGCUACUUUGCUCACCAAGGAUCCAGUUUGAUUGUGCUGCAAGAAGCCAAGAAGGAGAGAAAGAAGAAAGUGGUUGUGUCUGAACACAUUAUCUCGAUCAUUCAGAGUCGAAUGCCUGAAAAGCUACCUGACCCAGGAAGCUUUGUUCUUGAUUGCUCCAGCAUCAAUCUGAUGCCACAUUUAAUUGUUGUGCGCCUCGGUAUGACUACUUACAGGCCCACAAGGAUCACUUUGCUUCUCACAGAUCGUUCUAAGCGAAUUCUCGAUGGUAUCAUAGAAGAUGUUCCCGUGAAGAUUGGUGAAUGUCUCAUACCUGCUGAUUUCGUGGUACUGGAAUACGAUGAAAAACCCAAGGAUCCUUUUAUCUUGGGUAGAGCUUUCUUAGCCACAACUGGUGCGAAGAUUGAUGUGAAGAAGGGACAAGUUUCGUUGGAUGUGUAUGAUGUGAAGAUGAAUUUUGACAUGAAAGGACCAAGUACACCUCCUAUUCUCAGUGGUAAGUCCUUCUCUGUUGAAUCUACACGGGAAUCUGCAAAGGAAUCGGGUUCUACUGCACAAAAGGAGCCCGACAUUGCUCAGCCUCCAAGCCAGUGUCGUUCAUAUGGACCGGUGUCAACCGACACCACCUGUGUCGAUCGACACCAACGACGAGCAGAGAAGCGAAUUUUGGCGAAAACAGCUCUUGGGACUGCAGACACUGCCAAGUGUUCGGGAGCUAUUCUCAAGCCAUACACAGCACCUCGCCCACGCUUUCCACGCCUUGAUCAGCAAAGGUAUUUCUCCUCUCCUCCUCAUCCUUUACCUUCUUCACUUAAUACUUCCAUAUCUUCGAAGAAGGCUUCAUAGGUAAAUGAGCCACAAGAUUCUCGAGUGCUUGUUUCUUCUGUUGAUGCAGGACAAGGAAUAAAGGACACCGCUGCAGCUUCUACAAGCUUCCUUGGACAUGAGCACGCCUCCACUGCUUACACUCCACCAUGGAUGGCAAGGCGUCGCUCCUCUGAGAAGUCUUCAAACACUUCUCAUGCUCCAACUCGCUCAUGAAUCCCGACAUAGUCAAGCUAAUGACUGAAAACAAGCACUUCGUGGGAGGCAAACCACUGGUAUGUUUUUCGUUUUUCUUUUCUUUUGUUCAUGUUUUUCUUUUUAUUUUAUUUUCGCUUACUCCGGAUUUGAAUGCCACUGGGGACAGUGUCUUUUAAGUCUGGGGGAGGUAGUUACUAAUUGUGUUUUUCUUUUUGAGUCUUAUUUUUCUUUUUCUUUUGAGUCGUUUUAUUGAGUCAAACUUUUUGUUGGAAAUUAUGAUCUUUUUCCCUAGAGUAUUGCCUGGUUAGUUUAAUGCUGCAGAUUCAAUUCAUUCCGACUAAUGGAAAAUCCAGAGAGUUGAUCAAUAGACUAGAGGACAUCCACGUUUCCAACACAAUCCGCUAAAGCCUAAGCAAAGUUUAUACUCUUCACCUUGUUAAUACGGUUAGUAUUCUCAGAACUUGACUCCUUGUUCAUACCUGAUAAAUAAGACCAAUGUAGAAAAAGAAUGGUACUCUUCUCCCUUACUCUAGAAAAAAAAAAGAUUGAGAUGAUUUUCUUUUGGAGUAAAGAGAUAGGAAAAUUUCCCGUGAUCUCAUUAUUUUACUUUAAGAGGAAUGGUCACACGAAGGUUGGAAGUGAGGUUAGGAACAUUUCCGAUGAUACAAUUAUUCGCCUACACCUUUGAAGUUAAAAAAAAAAAGGUUUGAAAAAGAAUAAGUCUGGGGAGAGAAAGAGUACCUAAGUGUGUAAAAUGGUAUAGUACGAGAAUCAGUCUAGAAAUUUCUUGAGUACUAAUUUUAUUGAUGAGAUUUAUGCGAUGAGGGCUAUAGGAUAUAGUUGUGGAAUUUGGUUUGGAAUUUGGAAUGUUAAGAAUGCUUGCAGAGAAUUACAUGACGGUUAGGAUUUGAUGCGAUCUGCUAGGCAUUUGGAUUUGGUUUGGAUGAUCAAGGUAAUAGGCUAGAGAAAUUGGGAGUUUCUAUGUUUUCAAACUUCUUCCACGGGUUCGGUUUUUGUGUGUUUUCUUGAGGGCAAGCAAAAGCUAAGUCUGGGAGAGUUGUUAUAUCCCGGAUUUCACCAAUUUUAGCCAUGAUAUAUGUGUCAGUUUUAGAGUCUUUUUGUUGUUUCUAGUGUCUUUUUGAGUCUUUUUCAGGUUUUUACACGUUCGGAACAAAUUUGGAGAAAAUGAACCAUUUUGGAGCUAAACCGGAGAUUUAGAGCUGAGGAACGAAUUCGGCAUCAAACCAAGGCAUGAGUGUCGACCGACACCCUUGGAGUUUUAAAGCCCGAAGAAUCAACCCAGAAGACUUCCCUAUUUGCAUCUUUAGUCCCUGCACGUUUUUGGAGAUAUUAUAAGUAGUUUUUAGGGUUUCUUAUUUCAUUAUCUUGUUUACCCUGCAAUCUUGUUUUCUGCUUUUGGUUUGUAAUUCUCUGAGCUUGAACCCUUUGGAAGAGAAUUGGAGAGAGCUACUUUGAGAGAUUUCAAAUCCUUGUUAGAGAGAAGAUUUAUUCUAAACUCUAUUCUCCUUUUGAUUUCUUAUUUCAAUUUAUUCAAACAUGUUUUCGGUUUCAUUAAUCAUGUCUGAGUAAUCACCCUGUUAGGUUUAGGGAUUCUCAUUAGGGAUUUAGAUGAAGUAGUAAAUCAGUUACCUGUUAGGAUUAAUCUGUAGAGUUCUUCACUUUAGGUUGUUCUUAAUGCUAGUUCUACAGUAGCUAACUAGAACUUGAUCAUAGGAUAGUAGGUUUUGAUCCGAGAGGACGCCUGUUACUGGAACUAUCUUAGGUGGGCAGAGAUUUCUAGAUUCAUACGAGAGGUGGUCUAGGAAUAUUUGUGAACAUAUCAAACAUGUUUUUAAUGCUAGUCUAGGUCUAGGAAUUCGCAUUCGAGAGGGUGGAAUUACCUGAUAUUAGAUUAGUUAGUUAGCGCAUCUGAGAGGGUGGUUAGCUAUACUUUAGUGUUUUGAGUUCUGAACGGUUCGCUAAACAAUCCUAAUUAAUUUGCUAGAUUUAUUAUUAGUUUAUUUCCUGAGAAUUUUCUUAAACAUGAUGCUUUAAUCUAUUGAUCUUUUUACCUGAUAAAAUUGUCUGCUCGCUUUAUUUUAAUUCAUAUUGUUUUAUUUAGCCUAAUUUCGAAACUGUUAGCUUAUUGUGUGAACAAAAGAACUUUGUGGAAUUCGACCCUUAAGUGCUGCAAUUGAUCUCUUAUUUGAAAGACUAGUUCUAGGAGUUAAUUUGACUCAUAUCAGCAGGAAGAGAGGAGCUCUCUAAUGGUAGUGGCUCCUUCGCCUUGUUGGGAUUUGAACAAGUUAUUGUAGUAGUCUGAGAUGACUUCAAUGAUUUUUUCCUCUCUAUAGAAGCUCUGGUCCGAAUCAUCUUCUAUGACAGAGAACUUUUUUACUGUUUUUCUUCCUUUUAUUAUAGCAUUGAAAUAACCUGUGUUUCUGUCACCCAAAGUUAACCAAAGUUGACGGCUUCUCUAUUUCCAAAACUCCUCAUCUUCCUUAUAAGCUAUUUGCAGGUCAUUAUUGAUUGAAGAAAUCAUCAUACUGUUGGAGAGAGAACUACUAAUUGCCAGAUCCUUUCAUCUAAUUUGAACAUAUUUAAUAAAAUGAGUGUAUGUAGACGAGUGGUAUUAUUUUGGGAAAAAUGUCGAAAAAUGCGCCAAGUUUCAAAUUUGGAACGAUUAAAGCAGGAACUCUCGAAAUGUCUCUUUAAUCACAAAGUUUCUGUUGACCUAUAUGAAAAUAGCUAAGUUUUCGUUGACCUGGCCAAAUUAGGCAUCCCGUUAAGUCCCCGUUAUAAUGACACUGACGCUGUUAACAAUCCGUUACAAGUCUCCGUUAGAUCAAAACGACGUCGUUUGAAAACUUCAAAACGACGUCGUUUCACCAGAAAAUAAGAAGGAAAAAUGGCAUCUUCAAAUAUUGGAACUGCUGACUUGUUACACCAAUAAGAGACACUCAACCAUUAAGCUACGAGAACAUUUUAAUGUUAUAACAAACAGAACAUAUAUAUAUAUAUAUAUAUAUAUAUAUAUAUAUAUAUAUAUAUAUAUAUAUAUAUACUAAAAAUAACAUUAUACAAUUAAUUAGAAAUAUAUGCAAUUAAUUAAAAAUAACAAAACUAAAAAAUAAUAAUAACCAAAAAUACAAAUAUUAAAUAUACUUAUCAUAUUUAGGUUUAGGUUUAAACACAAAUAAGUUUAGGUUUUUAUAAUUUAGGAAAGAAUAAUUUUCCAAAAUAGAAUAAAAUCUUUAUAUAUAUAUAAUUAUAUAUUUAAAAUUUUGAAAUAUAUAUUUAAGGUAAGUAUAUUUAAUAUUCGUAUAUGUUUGGUUAUUAAUUUGUUUUUAAUUUUGUUAUUUUAAAUUAGUUGCAUAUAUUUUUACCUAAUAUAUGUUGCCAGUUUUUAGUAUAUAUACACGUACUAUUUAGGGUAACAGGUCAGCAAUUCGAAUCUUUGAAGAUGCCAUUUUUCUUUCUUAUUUUUUGGUGAAACGACAUCGUUUGAAAACUUCAAAACGACGUCGUUUUGAUCCAACGGAGACUUGUAACGGAUUGUUAACAGCGUCAGCGUCGUUCUAACGGGGACUUAACGCGAUGCCUAAUUUGGCCAGGUCAACGAAAACUUAGCUAUUUUCAGAUAGGUCAACAGAAACUUUGUGAUUAAAGAGACAUUUCGAGAGUUCAUGCUUUAAUCGUCCCAAAUUUAAAAGUUGGCGCAUUUUUCGACAUUUUUCCCGUAUUAUUUUAGAUGGUAUAAAUAUAUAUAUUUUGCUAUUACAAAAAAGAUAGAAUUUAAAUUUUUGUCAAUUUAUAUUUUGGUUCUUGUAAAAUUGUACUUGUUGCAAUUAUUUUGUUGUUAUGAUCGAGAAAUAUGUUUCUUAGUAAUUAAAAGAUAUUGUAAAACAAUACACUUCGUUCCACUAUUUUUGUUAGAUAUAGAUUAUUUUUCUCUUUCUUUUUCUUUUUUUGUGGUGAGAUAAAAUUUGUAAAAUGAAAUUAUUUGGUUUGAUCCUUCUGGUCAGCCUAACUUAUCGACACUAAAUUCACUCCAUCCUUUAAUUUUGUGUUAAAUUUAGUUACGCCAUUAGAAAUAUUCAAUAAUAGUGAACCAAUUUUUACCAACAAAACUCUAUAAAUUAUGUUUAUUUCAAUCUUUAGAUUCAUAUUAAUCGAAAAAAUAUUUUACUUCAAAACAAAAAAAUGAAUAAUCUCUUAGGUUUCAUUUUUCUUAUUGCUAUGUAUUUUGGAUUGCGUGAGGCAUCUAACUGCUGGGAUCAGAAGGUAGAAAUUCAAAACAGACUCGGUCCAGGUCGUAUUCUAAAAGUUGGAUGCAGUGAUUCACCAAACACCACCCACUGGUUGAAAUUCAAUGAGAAUUAUUUACUUUCAUCUGGCCAAAGAAGACAAAAUAUCUUUGCCAACAAAAAAAGAAGACAAGAUAUAUGGGUAUGUCACAUUGUUCACUGGCCUACAAAACAACCUUAUGCAUAUGAUCUUAUGGCAGAAUUAGGAUCAAGACUUCCCCCAUGUAUACAUGGGUUUCGCUCAUGGAUUGCUAAAGUUGAUGGAAUUUACUAUGAGCAUAAUAAAAUUAAACCAGGGUACCGCCUACUUGGAUGGAAAAAAGUGGAUACUAAUACUAUAGAAAACUAAUGUAAGAGUUGCAUAUCAAUAUUUUUUUUUAAAACUUAUUUUAUUAAACUAAUUAGUAUUCAAGAAUAAAGUGGGUACUAAUACUCCAGAAAACUAAUGUAACAGUUGCAUAUCAAUUAUGUUCUUUUUAUUUUAUUUUAUUUUAUUAAACUAAUUAGUAUUCAAGAAUAAAGUUGUUUGCUUUGUAAAGUAAUUUAUCAUUGCAUGUUGUUACAAAAAAGGUUUUAACUUCAAUAAAA
rnacentral:lncRNA from 1 species